rnacentral:rRNA from 1 species
AUUGAACGCUGGCGGCAGGCUUAAUACAUGCAAGUCGAGCGGAGAUGAGGUGCUUGCACCUUAUCUUAGCGGCGGACGGGUGAGUAAUGCUUAGGAAUCUGCCUAUUAGUGGGGGACAACAUUCCGAAAGGAAUGCUAAUACCGCAUACGUCCGACGGGAGAAAGCAGGGGAUCUUCGGACCUUGCGCUAAUAGAUGAGCCUAAGUCGGAUUAGCUAGUUGGUGGGGUAAAGGCCUACCAAGGCGACGAUCUGUAGCGGGUCUGAGAGGAUGAUCCGCCACACUGGGACUGAGACACGGCCCAGACUCCUACGGGAGGCAGCAGUGGGGAAUAUUGGACAAUGGGGGGAACCCUGAUCCAGCCAUGCCGCGUGUGUGAAGAAGGCCUUAUGGUUGUAAAGCACUUUAAGCGAGGAGGAGGCUACUGAGACUAAUACUCUUGGAUAGUGGACGUUACUCGCAGAAUAAGCACCGGCUAACUCUGUGCCAGCCGCCGCAGUAAAAC